GAUGAACGCUGGCGGCGUGCCUAAUACAUGCAAGUCGAGCGAACAGACGAGGAGCUUGCUCCUCUGACGUUAGCGGCGGACGGGUGAGUAACACGUGGAUAACCUACCUAUAAGACUGGGAUAACUUCGGGAAACCGGAGCUAAUACCGGAUAAUAUAUUGAACCGCAUGGUUCAAUAGUGAAAGACGGUUUUGCUGUCACUUAUAGAUGGAUCCGCGCCGCAUUAGCUAGUUGGUAAGGUAACGGCGUACCAAGGCAACGAUGCGUAGCCGACCUGAGAGGGUGAUCGGCCACACUGGAAGUGAGACACGGUCCAGACUCCUACGGGAGGCAGCAGUAGGGAAUCGUCCGCAAUGGGCGAAAGCCUGACGGAGCAACGCCGCGUGAGUGAUGAAGGUCUUCGGAUCGUAAAACUCUGUUAUUAGGGAAGAACAAAUGUGUAAGUAACUAUGCACGUCUUGACGGUACCUAAUCAGAAAGCCACGGCUAACUACGUG
rnacentral:rRNA from 1 species